GGGAGAAUGGUCUUGUGGUUAAGGCACUGGACUGGGACUGAGGAGAUUUAGGUUUGCUCCCUAGUUCUCCUA
rnacentral:tRNA from 1 species